GUGUCAGCCGCCGCGGUAAUACGAAGGGUGCAAGCGUUAAUCGGAAUUACUGGGCGUAAAGCGUGCGUAGGUGGUUCGUUAAGUCUGUUGUGAAAGCCCUGGGCUCAACCUGGGAAUGGCGAUGGAUACUGGCGAGCUAGAGUACGGUAGAGGAUGGUGGAAUUCCCGGUGUAGCGGUGAAAUGCGUAGAGAUCGGGAGGAACAUCAGUGGCGAAGGCGGCCAUCUGGACCAGUACUGACGCUGAGGCACGAAAGCGUGGGGAGCAAACAGGAUUAGAAACCCUGGUAGUCC
rnacentral:rRNA from 1 species